AACGAACGCUGGCGGCAUGCCUAACACAUGCAAGUCGAGGGGUAACGAGAGGGAAGCUUGCUUUCCUUGUCGACGACCGGCGCACGGGUGAGUAACGCGUAUCCAACCUGCCCCCAACUAGGGAAUAACCUUGCGAAAGUAAGACUAAUACCCUAUAAUUUCCUCAGAUGUCAUCUGACGAGGAAUAAAGAUUUAUCGGUUGUGGAUGGGGAUGCGUCUGAUUAGCUUGUUGGCGGGGUAACGGCCCACCAAGGCAACGAUCAGUAGGGGUUCUGAGAGGAAGGUCCCCCACAUUGGAACUGAGACACGGUCCAAACUCCUACGGGAGGCAGCAGUGAGGAAUAUUGGUCAAUGGGCGGAAGCCUGAACCAGCCAAGUAGCGUGCAGGAUGACGGCCCUAUGGGUUGUAAACUGCUUUUAUACAGGAAUAAAGUUAGCCACGUGUGGUUAUUUGUAGGUACUGUAUGAAUAAGGACCGGCUAAUUCCGUGCCAGCCGCCGCCGUAA
rnacentral:rRNA from 1 species